UAUCAGAUUCCCAUAAGAAGACUAUACAGACUUCUAGGAAAGCUGUAGAGGAACCCCUUAAUGAAUAACUGAAGUGAAGUGACGGACUCUGAUUUGGAGAAUAGUAAGACGUGAAAGGAAUACACUUGUGUUUAUGCACCAUGGCCCUGAUUCACUGUUCUGGAGAAUAAAACAAGAAAAGUAACUGGUUUUUAUCUACAGGAGAAAGUAUAUCAUUGACCCUUAAAUGAUUGUUAUAAAUAAGUUUUUAUUCAAUGCAUUUGUAAUUUAGUUAAUAAAAGAAUUAUGAUCUGUGUUGUGUGCCCAAUUGAGAUCUAGUUUUUUGUUGUUAUUUUUAUUCGAUUAGGGGCAAAAGUAGAGUGGGCAACUUCCAAGAAUGAUGCCUUUCAGAUCUGAGAGCCUCUCAACUCUAGGUCAUCAGUCUAAAUUGGUCAAGGUGAGAAUUACCUGACACUAACCUGGUGGUUACCCUAAGAUAUCUAUGAAAAACAGUGGCUUCCAUCGAACCUUAGGAAACUCAGGUUCACAGCCGCUUUUGCAGUUGGGGUGGUAGCUGAAUGAUGUGUCUGCCACUUCUGGGUCAAAGGAAUAGCAAAUUAAGUACAGACGGGAAUUUGGUUGGGAACAUCUUGUAUGCUGCCUACAUGUAGUGUGAUGCUGGCGGAGAUCAUGGUCUUCAUUCUUGGGGGUUGCCAUUCACACAUUCUAUCUUCAACAUACAGUGUAACAGAUCCUUUCCAGAUUUAGCGUCAUUUUAUUGAUGAAUUUGUUUUUCUUUUAUUCACACAACCCUUUGAACCCUGUCUCGUCCUCCUGUUAUUUGCUUCUGCUGUACAAGAUGUAGCACCUUUUCUCCUCUUUGAACAUGGUCCAGUGACACGGUAGCAUCAUUGCAGAAAGGAGCCAAGCUAGUUCUUAGAGAACUAUGUUCACAC